CGCCCUUGAGAAGCCUUGUCCUGCCAAUCGUUUGGCUAUUUUCUCAGGCCUGAUCCGCCACCUCCUGCGAUCUCCGUCCAAACGGACGCGUCCUCCAUCAUUGAUGCAAGCGGUGGCCAGAGUGCGUUUGAUGAGCGCUGUGACCAGCAAGGCGACCGAGCGCCGGCCAUCAAAGCGUCUCCUUGCAGCUUUGAGCUGUUCUCUUUUUGUUUCCUUGCUCCCAUCUGCAUCAAAAAAAAAAAGGAAUCAAUAGCUGAAACUUUUGAGUACCAGUUUUUCCUUCCAUUACAACCCCCCGACGCCAGUUUGGCAGUUGCACAUUAUGCCACAAGAGUGAAAACCCAGUUAAAAGGAGGAAGGCACAAGGAGAUGACACCAGCGAGGAAGCGCCCGGCGUUGGGCAGGGCCCCCCGGCGGGGAGAAAAUCAAUGGGAAGGAACGCUUCCAUACACGGAAACGGCACAAUGGGAGGGAAAGGAGGGAGUCUGGAUUUUUCUUUCUUUUUUUUGUUUUUUUACUGAAAAAUGAUGCAUUUGUUUUACCCAGGGAGGGAAAAGACAAAGACAAGGAGAGAGGAAAAAAAUAAAUAAAACCCACUCUUCUGAAAAUCUAUUGAGGAAAAAAAAAAAAAGUUCUUUGGUGAGGUUGAGUUGUGUGGUUAAGGUUUGUUUUAUCCAACUGUGCCGGAGCGUGUGUAGCUGUCUUUCAGGUCUCUUUUUAGUCGAGGCGCAGGAAGACUACUCUUGGCAUGUUCAAGGGCACUCAGUGGACACGGAUGCCCUGCAGGAGGCGGAAUUAUGAAUACAACAUGAGUAAACAGACACCUACAUAUACUAUUAAAAUGCAGCUGUGAACAAAGAAUACAAUAGCGCGCAAACUCGAAACACAAUUCCAAGCCGGAGCCUUGAAUGGCAUUCAGACUUCACGGUGACUGAGUGAGCCCAUUCAGGGGGAGUGCGCGGCGGUUGGAGAGAUAGUAUCGAGUUGCCUGCAGAUGGAG
ensembl:lncRNA